UACGUAGGGUGCAAGCGUUAUCCGGAUUUACUGGGUUUAAAGGGUGCGUAGGUGGGCAGGUAAGUCAGUGGUGAAAUCUCCGGGCUUAACCCGGAAACUGCCAUUGAUACUAUCUGUCUUGAAUAUCCUGGAGGUAAGCGGAAUAUGUCAUGUAGCGGUGAAAUGCUUAGAUAUGACAUAGAACACCAAUUGCGAAGGCAGCUAUCUACAGGAAUAUUGACACUGAGGCACGAAAGCGUGGGGAUCAAACAGG
rnacentral:rRNA from 1 species